CAAUCGAACUCGGAGAUAGCUGGUUCUCUCCGAAAUAGCUUUAGGGCUAGCCUCGAUUUAACAUUACCGGAGGUAAAGCACUGAAUGGGCUAGGGGCCGAGAGGUUACUGAACCCUAUCAAACUAAGAAUGCCGGAUAAUGAUAAUCGGGAGUCAGACAGUGUGAGAUAAGUUUCAUUGUCAAAAGGGAAACAGCCCAGACCCACAGCUAAGGUCCCAAAGUACAGUUAAGUGGUGAAGGAUGUGGAAUUGCAUAGACAACCAGGAUGUUGGCUUAGAAGCAGCCACUCAUUAAAAGAGUGCGUAAUAGCUCACUGGUCGAGUGAUUCUGCGCCGAAAAUUUAACGGGGCUAAACUGUACACCGAAGCUUGGGAUACAUCUAAUGUAUGGUAGGAGAGCGUUGUAUACGGGGUGAAGUCAGAGCGGAAGCGCUGGUGGACUGUAUACAAGUGAGAAUGCCGGAAUGAGUAGCGAGAAUUAUGUGAGAAUCAUAAUGGCCGAAAGACUAAGGUUUUAGAAGGAAGGUUCGUCCGCUUCUAGUCAGCCGGGAGCUAAGGCGAGGCCGAAAGGCGUAGUCGAUGCACAUACGGUGGAGAUUCCGUAGCCGCCAUUAAUUUAAACAGAGGGACACUUUCAAGGGGCAUGACCCGGGCGUUGGUAGACCCGGGCGUAAGGGACCGAAGAUUAGUAGGGAAGCAUGCUUUAAGGAAGGCGAGAAAAGCUCUGUGUAUAGAAGAUGGCGCCCGUACCGCAAACCGACACAGGUAGUCAGGAAGAGAAUUCUAAGGCCAACGGGAGAAGGGUAGUUAAGGAACUCGGCAAAUUGACCCCGUAACUUCGGAAUAAGGGGUGCUCACGAGAGUGAGCCGCAGUGAAUAGGUCCAGGCGACUGUUUAUCAAAAACACAGCUCUCUGCUAAAUCGAAAGAUGACGUAUAGGGGGUGACACCUGCCCGGUGCUGGAAGGUUAAGAGGAAGGGUGCAAGCUCUGAAUUGAAGCCCCAGUAAACGGCGGCCGUAACUAUAACGGUCCUAAGGUAGCGAAAUUCCUUGUCGGGUAAGUUCCGACCCGCACGAAUGGUGUAACGAUCUGGACACUGUCUCAACUACCCACCCGGCGAAAUUGUAGUACCGGUGAAGAUGCCGGUUACCCGCGGCAAGACGGAAAGACCCCAUGGAGCUUUACUGUAACCUGAUAUUGGGUUUCGGUAUUUUAUGUACAGGAUAGGUGGGAGACUAAGAAACUAAGGCGCCAGCCUUAGCGGAGUCGCCCUUGGGAUACCACUCUUAAAGUACUGAAAUUCUAACCUGCGGCCGUGAAUCCGGUCGGGGGACAUUGUCAGGCGGGCAGUUUGACUGGGGCGGUCGCCUCCAAAAGAGUAACGGAGGCGCUCAAAGGUUCGUUCAGCACGGACGGAAAUCGUGCAUUGAGUGUAAACGCAUAAACGAGCCUAACUGCGAGACCGACGGGUCGAGCAGUAACGAAAGUUGGAGUUAGUGAUCCGGCGGUAUGAGAGUGGAAUUGCCGUCGCUCAACGGAUAAAAGCUACCCUGGGGAUAACAGGCUGAUCUCCCCCA
rnacentral:rRNA from 1 species